GAGGAGCUGCUCGAUGCCAUCUUCUCCUGGCAGCAGGAAUAAUCCGCGACCCGCCUUUAAAAGCCUCCAAAGGUUGUGCAGUUUCGGCCAGUCCCACCACCACUAGCUUACAAGUCCAGUGCCUUUGCUUCAUUCCAGUGAGAAGUGAUAUUUAUUUUUUCGAGAGUUUAUCACUGUUUUUUCUAGUCAUUGUUGUUGUACAUUUUGUAUAUAUGAAGAGUAGUUUAAGGCGUUGUGGUUCUCGAACCGACCAAUCAAAAUUCUCUAUUUAUCGCAAACAAGUACUUGCAUAGUGUUAUAAUAGUUUACUAUCGUACUGAUUAAUUUUAGGUUUCCUACUGUACAUUCGUUGCUUAGUGUAAGUUUUAGUCUAAGUCCGCCCUAUUGCCUUGCAGGUGAAAUAAACUCGAGUUUACAUUUUUA
rnacentral:lncRNA from 1 species